rnacentral:rRNA from 1 species
UGGGGAAUUUUGGACAAUGGGGGAAACCCUGAUCCAGCCAUCCCGCGUGUGCGAUGAAGGCCUUCGGGUUGUAAAGCACUUUUGGCAGGAAAGAAACGUCAUGGGUUAAUACCCCGUGAAACUGACGGUACCUGCAGAAUAAGCACCGGCUAACUACGUGCCAGCAGCCGCGGCAAUACGUAGGGUGCAAGCGUUAAUCGGAAUUACUGGGCGUAAAGCGUGCGCAGGCGGUUCGGAAAGAAAGAUGUGAAAUCCCAGAGCUCAACUUUGGAACUGCAUUUUUAACUACCGGGCUAGAGUGUGUCAGAGGGAGGUGGAAUUCCGCGUGUAGCAGUGAAAUGCGUAGAUAUGCGGAGGAACACCGAUGGCGAAGGCAGCCUCCUGGGAUAACACUGACGCUCAUGCACGAAAGCGUGGGGAGCAAACAGG